ACGAGACAAGAGCGGCCUUAAGUUCGUUGCGUAUGUGGUUGUCUCUCUCUCACUAAUGGGUGUGUAAAGUGGUGCGCGCCGCAUUUGUGUGACUGUCAUUUGCCGUGUGAUUUAGCAAAGUGAAGACGUGCGCAAGACACAAAGGUGAAAAACUAUUUCAGUGAAUUGGACAUAUGUGCGACCCUUCCGUACCUCGAGGCCUCUUUGCUCUUCGCUAGACCAGACAGCUAAGGGAAAAAAUACCAUAGCCUAGAACAUGGAACAUGUAUAUACAUAUAUAAGUAACUGUAUUACAAAAUAAAAUAUAAAAAAAAUA